GCCUUGCGAGUGUGAUGGAUGCACAAUGGUCUUCGGAACCAUUAGACGGGGUUCGACUCCCUGGUGAGGUAC
rnacentral:tRNA from 1 species